UAGUGUCACAGCUCUUUUAGAAUUAGUCUAGCAGGUUUUCUGUUUUUUCCCCGGAACCCCCG
rnacentral:snRNA from 1 species